UACGUAGGGAGCAAGCGUUGUCCGGAAUCAUUGGGCGUAAAGCGCGCGUAGGUGGCCUCAUAAGUCCGCUGUGAAAGUCAAAAGGCUCAACCUUUGAAAGCCGGUGGAUACUGUGAGGCUAGAGUACGGAAGAGGCGAGUGGAAUUCCUGGUGUAGCGGUGGAAUGCGCAGAUAUCAGGAGGAACACCAAUAGCGAAGGCAGCUCGCUGGGACGUUACUGACAUUGAGGCGCGAAAGCGUGGGGAGCGAACAGG
rnacentral:rRNA from 1 species